rnacentral:rRNA from 1 species
GAUGGACGCUGGCGGCGUGCCUAAUACAUGCAAGUCGAGCGAACGGACGAGAAGCUUGCUUCUCUGAUGUUAGCGGCGGACGGGUGAGUAACACGUGGAUAACCUACCUAUAAGACUGGGAUAACUUCGGGAAACCGUAGCUAAUACCGGAUAAUAUUUUGAACCGCAUGGUUCAAAAGUGAAAGACGGUCUUGCUGUCACUUAUAGAUGGAUCCGCGCUGCAUUAGCUAGUUGGUAAGGUAACGGCUUACCAAGGCAACGAUGCAUAGCUGACCUGAGAGGGUGAUCGGCCACACUGGAACUGAGACACGGUCCAGACUCCUACGGGAGGCAGCAGUAGGGAAUCUUCCGCAAUGGGCGAAAGCCUGACGGAGCAACGCCGCGUGAGUGAUGAAGGUCUUCGGAUCGUAAAACUCUGUUAUUAGGGAAGAACAUAUGUGUAAGUAACUGUGCACAUCUUGACGGUACCUAAUCAGAAAGCCACGGCUAACUACGUG